AUAUCAUCAUUGUCUAGUGGU
ensembl:piRNA 21ur-4111 ncRNA